AGGGUUUGGUGUGGGAGCAUUUGCAAUAAAGCAUAGCCAGGGACAGCCAUCCCUCUAGGCUCGACUUGCUCCCAUGGCAGACUUUAACCCUAGGGGGACUGUUGAAACUAAAUUCUUCAGGGUGGUCUUGCCUGUCAGAUGAGGCCAGUUCAAUAACCUGAGCACCCCUUGGUUUUCUGGUCUCUCCUGGAGCCCCAGACUGGCCGUGCCUGCUUGCAGGCUACCCAAAGCAGAAAGCUCCAGCACAGCAGCCCCUAUGGACAUGCACCAGCCCAGCCACUUCCUUCCUCUACUGCAGUUUCCGCUGGGCCCAUGGCCAUCCCCCCCAAUCACUGCUGGUGCACAUGUGAGCAGGCAGAUCUUGCCUUCUCUGCCCUGCCAGUGUGCAUGUGUGCAUGUGCCCUGCCCUGCCACUGCUGCUGGCAUGAGUGAACUCAGCCUCCUCCUCCCCACACCAUGCCAUCAUUGCAGUCAAAGCCUUGGCAGGCACAGAGUCCACCAGCCUCACCUUCACCAGUGCCUUGCCCCUGCACUAACACUGCUGCUGGAGUGAAACUAGGCAGGGAGAACAGUGGACUUACCACACCCUGAGCAGCCACCCUUGCCUGCAAAAACUCAGACAGAGGGUGCACGCAGACCAGCACCUGCCAGUCUCCCGCUCCCAUGCUAACACCACUACCAGCGGGACAGCAUGCGAAGUUGCCAUUGGGCGUGAGGGGCCCACCUUCCCAUGUCAUGCUGCCUCCACUGCUGCUGCCAAUGCCCACAUGGAGGCUGGCACCUGGGCACCCCCUAGCACCCUGCCAUAGCCAAUGAGCAUGCACCCUGCUGCGCUGCCACUGCCACUACCACUGGCACAUGUGAAUGAGGACAGAUUCCACUGCCACUGCCCUACAAAAUGCUUUGGCUGGCACCACCCAUUGGAGUGUUGUGACCAGCAGUCAGGGAGCACCUUGGCUGCACCCAGCACAGUGGGUUCCUAACCUUGAGGAGCCAGAGAACGAAGUUGGGCCUGAUACCAAUCCCCUAGGGUUAGGGUAUGCAGUCUAGGAGUUGGAAGCCUAGCUUUGGCUCCCUGAAAUUUUCCAGAAAUGAAGCCAGUCAUUUGAACUCAUCUUAUAACACAAGCAAACCCUCAAGGUCAUCAAAUAGG
rnacentral:lncRNA from 1 species